rnacentral:lncRNA from 1 species
AACCUAACACACUUCCCAAGGUAAGCAAAGACCAUCACCAUCUUUUAUUUUCAUCCAGGGGCCGUAUGGUAGAGUGUAUUGAAAAAUAUAAUGCAUGCAUUAGUUAAUGUGUACUACUAGUAUCUUGUUUGGUAUAUUUUUUUGUCUAUGUAUAAAUAAUGCAAGCAUUAGUUAUACACUAUAUUGUGUAUUAAAGUGUGUAUUAAUAAUCCACUCCAUUUCUUAUGUAUUAGUAAUAUAAAGACUUUUAACACAUGCAUUAACUUAUUAAAUGACCUUAAUACCCCUUAAUUUCCCUCUCAAAAUAUUUCACCAUUCUUUUUCCCGUCAUUUUACUUUGCAAUAGUGAAUCUUUUCAAAACAUUUCACAAUUUCUUUUCCCGCCAUU